CCUACGGGGGGCUGCAGUGGGGAAUAUUGGACAAUGGGGGCAACCCUGAUCCAGCCAUGCCGCGUGUGUGAAGAAGGCCCUCGGGUUGUAAAGCACUUUCAGUGAGGAAGAACGCCUGGUGGUUAAUACCCAUCAGGAAAGACAUCACUCACAGAAGAAGCACCGGCUAACUCCGUGCCAGCAGCCGCGGUAAUACGGAGGGUGCGAGCGUUACUCGGAAUUACUGGGCGUAAAGCGCGCGUAGGUGGCUUGAUAAGCCGGUUGUGAAAGCCCCGGGCUCAACCUGGGAACGGCAUCCGGAACUGUCAAGCUAGAGUGCAGGAGAGGAAGGUAGAAUUCCCGGUGUAGCGGUGAAAUGCGUAGAGAUCGGGAGGAACACCAGUGGCGAAGGCGGCCUUCUGGACUGAAACUGACACUGAGGUGCGAAAGCGUGGGUAGCAAACAGGAUUAGAUACCCUAGUAGUC
rnacentral:rRNA from 1 species